AUUGUACUCCCUCCAUCCUAAAAUUCUUGUCUUAGAUUUGUUUAUAUAUGAAUGUAUCUGGUCACAUUUUAAUAUGUAGAUACAUACAUUUCUAGACAAACUUAAGACAAUAAUUUUGAGACGGAGGAAGUAUGUG
rfam:Hordeum vulgare subsp. vulgare, WGS project CAJW01000000 data, contig: morex_contig_49859